rnacentral:misc_RNA from 1 species
GAUGAAGAACGUAGCGAAAUGCGAUAAGUAGUGUGAAUUGCAGAAUUCAGUGAAUCAUCGAAUCUUUGAACGCACAUUGCGCCCGCCGGUAUUCCGGCGGGCAUGCCUGUCCGAGCGUCAUUUCACCACUCAAGCCCAGCUUGGCGUUGGGGCACCCGGCCGCCUGGCGGUCGGGGCCCCCAAGAACAUCGGCGGUCUCGCUAGGACCCUGAGCGCAGUAACUCGCGGUAAAACGCGCUUCGUUCGGAGGCUUCCCGGCGGGCUCCAGCCGCUAAACCCCCUAAACUUCUUAGGUUGACCUCGGAUCAGGUAGGAAUACCCGCUGAACUUAAGCAUAUCAAUAAGCGGAGGA